UGAUCCAGGUCGGUGGCCUUUCUC
rnacentral:piRNA from 1 species